rnacentral:rRNA from 1 species
CUUACCUACCCUUGACAUGCUAGGAAGUCCGCAGAGACGUGGAUGUGCCCGAAAGGAAGCCUAGACACAGGUGCUGCAUGGCUGUCGUCAGCUCGUGUCGAGAGAUGUUGGGUUAAGUCCCGCAACGAGCGCAACCCUUGUCCUUAGUUGCUACCAUUCAGUUGAGCACUUUAAGGAGACUGCCGAUGACAAACCGCAGUAAGGUGGGGAUGACGUCAAGUCCUCAUGGCCCUUAUGAGAUAGGCUUCACACGUCAUACAAUGGUCGGUACAGAGAAGUGCCAAGCCGCGAGGUGAAGCCAAUCCCAGAAAGCCGAUCGUAGUCCGGAUUGCACUCUGCAACUCGAGUGCAUGAAGUCGGAAUCGCUAGUAAUCGCAGAUCAGCAUGCUGCGGUGAAUACGUUCCCGGGCCUUGUACACACCGCCCGUCACACCAUGUGAGUGGGUUCUACCGGAAGUAGCUAGGCUAACCGCUAGGAGGCCGGUUACCACGGUAG